rnacentral:lncRNA from 1 species
UUCCUGCUCGAGAAUGCAUCGGACGUCUGGCUGUAGAAGGAAGUAUGGAGAUUUGCUAAUAUUCAAGCAGUUUAUUAGUUUUUGAGUAUUGAAAUAUAAACAAUUGCAAGAAUAUAUCGUAAAUCUAUACGGAUGUCCUUUGACUGCUCGUCGAAAUCCUUUUUGCCCCAGCCGGUAGGUCUCUAGACGUUACAGAGAACCCCGAACUACCCAAAGUGCUAAUCUUCGAUACCUCUUUAUACUCACAAUCUUGUAUCCACUAACUGUCUCGUUAGAUUAACCCAAUAAAUUUCAUUCACUUUGCAUACUCAAUCUUAUAGACACCCUUUUAAUUCUUCAUCACAGACGUAACUCAAUUUCACAAAACAGUCAAGAGUAAUUACACCCACUUCAUUAAAAAUCUCGAUUCACCAGUACAACCCUGACUUCAGCAACGAUUGCCUCAGUCUUCCCAAAACCCUAUGAAGAAAAAAAAACCCCAAAUCUCUGUCUUUUUUUCCCGCCCCGAAGCAUGAAGCUAGCUCUCCGAUCCUUCUCAAAAAACUUAUUCUCUCCCCUUUCAUUUCUUAACAUAUCCUCCCCUUUAACCCUAAUUCUUCCCUCUU